AUUGAACGCUGGCGGCAGGCUUAACACAUGCAAGUCGAGCGGGGGAAGGUAGCUUGCUACUGGACCUAGCGGCGGACGGGUGAGUAAUGCUUAGGAAUCUGCCUAUUAGUGGGGGACAACAUCUCGAAAGGGAUGCUAAUACCGCAUACGUCCUACGGGAGAAAGCAGGGGAUCUUCGGACCUUGCGCUAAUAGAUGAGCCUAAGUCGGAUUAGCUAGUUGGUGGGGUAAAGGCCUACCAAGGCGACGAUCUGUAGCGGGUCUGAGAGGAUGAUCCGCAACACUGGGACUGAGACACGGCCCAGACUCCUACGGGAGGCAGCAGUGGGGAAUAUUGGACAAUGGGGGGAACCCUGAUCCAGCCAUGCCGCGUGUGUGAAGAAGGCCUUAUGGUUGUAAAGCACUUUAAGCGAGGAGGAGGCUACUUUAGUUAAUACCUAGAGAUAGUGGACGUUACUCGCAGAAUAAGCACCAGCUAACUCUGUGCCAGCCGCCGCAGUAAAAC
rnacentral:rRNA from 1 species